CCCACCCACCUACCCUGCUCCUUGGAUGACAGACAGGCGCCCUCCUUCCUGGCAGUCCAGCCGGGGGCAGGGACGCCCCUUUAGAAGCAGGGUCUCCAGGGCCCUUGGCUCAGAGCCCUUCUGCGGGGCACGCUUGCUGAGGGUGUGCACUAUCACUGGGGGUGGCGGAGCCUGGCACCACGGUCAGCUCCUCUUCAGCCAGGUGUGGUGUGGUCUGAGGGACACUCUCCGGGCUGCACAAGAGACACAGCCAGGUGUGAAGUGGGUCCCACCUCUCCUGACCUGUAGGAGCUUCCACUUCCCCUCUCAGCAGAGAUGCAAGUGGACCGGAUUCCCCACAGGGGUGCCGGGUGGGCACAUCUGCCCCGUGCCCAGCCCCGUAGCCCAGCCCCGUGCCUAGCCAGGCCUAGCCCAUAACCAGGACCCAGCAUCUCCUGGAAGAAAAACUUUCACUUGGGCCUCUGCUAUCUGGUUAGACUUCCCCCAAAAGCAGAGGGCCAGAGAGGGAGGCCACACAGCCCCACCCCAGCACUCCCCACCCGUCAGCGCAUUUCAGUGUGACCUGUGUUUACACGGCACACAUACUUACAAUUCCUCUGCAACCACCGCUCAAAGCCUGGGCAGCCACAAAUAUUCCACAGUGCUUGUCAGGGCCCAGCAGCCCCAGCCUGCCCCGCCUGCGCCUCCCUCACUGCCCUUGGUGCUUCCGCUGCCUCUGCCCGCAGCCCUGCCGCGGCGCUGCCCACUGCUAGGGGAGGCCAGGCACCGCCCGAGCACUCUGCGGGCCCUGCUGGAGUCUGUGCAGUGGAUGGAGGGCCAGACAAUGCGUGUGUCCAAGUGUCUGUCAGCCCCACAGCUUGCUCCGGCGACACCGAGAUGCCUCAAGGAGCUCAGGGCCCCGUGGGAGACACACCAGCAAGCGAGGAAACAUGCCAGCAUGCCCCAAGUGUAGCAGUGGAGUCUGCAAGAAGCCAGCAGGGCACAAAAGGUGGGCACCCGGCCUGCUGGGAGGACCGGGAGAGGGUUCUGAGAGCAGUGUAGCACCAGGAUGAGCUCUUCAGAUUGUGAAGUCCUCCAGGAAGAGAGGGCAGUAUGAGUGAAGGGUCGGGGAACAGAGCAGUCUCCCCAGUUCAGUGAACCCCACAGCUUGCUUGGCUGCAGCAGAAGGUAUGAGAGGAGAGGGAGAAUGGAAAUGGCCAGACCUGCAGCUGGGAGGAGAGCACAGGCUUCACCCUGAGGGCAGUGGGGAGCCACAGCAGGCUUUAGCCUACAGGAGGAACGUGCUCCAACUCGAAUCUGAGACACUUCCCUGGGACAGGCGUGGAGGACGGACUGGAGGAACCCAGCCUAGGAGGAAAUGCUGAAGAGAGUGGGAAAGAGCAAGCUUGGGAAGGCCCUGGAAAACUUUUUCCAAAUUCCUGCCCGUGGCUUGGGCAGAGUCUCAAGGAGGUGUGUUGAACAGCCGGUUCUGCUGACAUUCUGGGAAUUAAUGAAGCUGGGUGCAGCCUGCCAACCUCACAGCUCCAGAGGAGGAAAAAAGGGAGUUGUGUGUUCACAGCCAAAAGAGGAGUUCAUAAAUUUUCCUAAAAUUACUAGAUGUGUGUAAUUUAUGGCCAAGGCCAGACACUCCAAGCCCCCAAGGAGCAGAGCAGUGGCUGCAAGGAGGCAUCAUGGGAGAAUGGCCACCGUGGGCUCUGCCAUGCUCCGAAGAACAGCAGGGAGGUGGCAAGUGACGGGAAAGGGGUCCAAGAAGUAGCAUCCAGAAAGAUGAGGUAAAGGCAGCGCUGAUUCCAUUCUCGUGCCAAGCUAUCCUUAAGCAUCAGACAGAGUGAGCACCUAAGCAGAUGGCCGGCUGGGAACGCCGCAGGGACCCUCCUCAGCCGCUAAGUGAGAAAUGCCUGAGGUUGGCCCCCAGCACACGGGAGCCCCUGGAGACAACAUGGCCCUCCCUGCUGCUGGCAGAGAUCAAAGGUUCCUCGAGACAGGGACAUCACCAAGGCUGGGCCGGAUGACCCUGCCGCAGGGUAGCUACUAAUAUUCAGGUGGCAAAGACCACAUUAGCCACCCAGCACCUGCAUCUUCACGCACCUUGGGUGCCCGCUCCUCACAAGCAUACACAGGCCAGGAUGCUCCCCACACCCGGCCAAAAAACAGAAAAGCUCUGCAGGUGUCUUAGGACCCGUUCCUCGAGGAGGCCCCGCACCUUUGGUGUACCCAUUUUCAGUUGACACAGGUCUGAGCAGCUGUGCCCUUUCCAAGGCCACACAGGUAGUCAGUGGCAGAAGCGAGUUUCAGAUUCAGAUCUCACAUCCCCGCCACCCACAUUGUCCCCCAGCUGUGUCUCCUUACACCCAUGACAAUCAGAGGCGGCAUGUUUGUGUCAUCGUCAUGCCUUUAACUAACACACGAGAUACUAUAUACAUUUUCUUGCUAAACAUAUUUUUAAAGAUAAUGAAGAACUAUAGGUGCCCACUGUAUUUGAGAAGACAAAGCGCCAGUGGAAAGCAGAGGGCUCCCCUCCUCCCGUGGACGUACAGCCGCAGGUGGCCAGUGGCCUGGGAGGAAGCCUGCCCAGGCGUGGGGGAACAUUCCCGGAUCCCCGGCCCCACCUGGCUGUGAAUUUAUCUGCAGCCCCUGGCCCACCAGGCUUUGGGGGGAGCUUUUCCGGACCAGCACUCUAGGCCAGUCCCGGAGCCAUCCCUGGAGGGGCCACGGCCAUCGUGGGAAGGACGCCAAGCCAGGGAAAUGGGGACUCUGAUGUAGGCUCCAAAGCACUGCCCUCUGCUGAGAGGCUGCUAUUUCCUGACAAACGCACCUCCCAGAACAACCUCACUGUUAGGAUGAAAAGCCAUCUUGGAGGAGGGAAAAAAGGACGCCCCCACGGAGGUGACUCCAAGUUUCCAUGGUCGAGUGGAGUGAGCAGCCCACCCCUAUCCAUCAUGACAGCUGCCCUCCUGCCAGGCUGUCCCAAGAGCUCUGAGGACAGUUGAGGUCGCAGACAGUUUAGGAACAGAAGAGGCAGGGUGGAGGGGCCAGAGAAGGAAGGCGGUGAGCUUGGCCAGGGCAGCCGCACAGUGAUGUGACCGUGUGGCCUGUGGUGAGCUGGAGUGGUGGGCGGCCCCGGGCCACUGUGCGCAGCUGACCAGGCCGCGAGCUUCUUCACCACACUGCCCCACCACCUGCCCAUCGGGCCAUGAGACUAGCAAGCCCACCACUACCAUGCAAGUCACAGGAGGUGGAGUCACGGGGCUGGGGGCCCCCUGGAGGCCGACCAGGCCACAGGCCGGUGCAGAAAAAGAAGAUUCAGUCCUGAGGGGUCAGAGGUGAGGGCUUGAGGUCACCAGACCCGAGUUCAAGCCUGACCUGAGUCUUGACCGUGGAACCUCGGGCAAACGGCUCCAACUCUCUGAGACUGGUCUUCCUCAUCCAUCCGCGGGGACUGAGGAUUCCUGUCCAGCAGUAUAACGGGAUGAAAUGAGAUCACGUGUUUGCCGAUGAGACGUGUAGAUAAUAUUGCAACUGCUGGGGCCUGAGGGCUGCAUGGGCGAGACACUGUGCCAUCUCGGAUGGGCCUGGAGCCUCCCGUAUGAAGGCAGCGUGAUGGCCAUUCCCAUUUUACAGACGAGAUGACUGAAGCUCACAGCGGGAAGGAAGGAGCCCAGUCCCACGGGGCUAGGAAGUGGCCAUCAGGCCCAGAACGUGGUCUGCCUGGCUCCAAGGACCCAGCCCUCCCUCAGACCCCAGCCCCUCCUGGAGGAGGAGCCUAUAGAUUCCAGUCUCUUCCUGUGGAGACCGGAAGUGGAGGCAUUUUCAAUGUGCAAAUUUUCCUUCCCUGAGAUUCUGGGAGAUUCUUCCAAAACUGCAACAGCACAGACAGGAGGCUGGAAGAGACGUGUCCUGCUCUGGGGCGGGGGUGUUCAUCCCUCCCCUGUUUACAGGGGGUCCCUCUGCACCCCUUGCCCUCCUCCACAGGGACGUUCUGAAUGGUGGCAGGAAGGUCACUGUUUCAUCAUUCAGAGAUACCUCCCGCCAGACAGAUCAGCUAGGCUCUGGGCUCUGGCCACCCCUGGCCUUACAUGUCACCGUGGAGGGCAGCCCAAGCUCUCCUCUCUCCUCCUUCCGCCAGACAGAUCAGCUAGGCUCUGGGCUCUGGCCACCCCUGGCCUUACAUGUCAGUGUGGAGGGUGGCCCGAGCUCUCCACUCUCCUCCUUCUCAGGGUCAGGAAUGGUAUUGUUUUUGCAAAGAACAGCUUCAGAAGCUCCCUCGGGCUGGGCAGGAAUUAAAUCACAAGUGUUCCAGGGCAGGGACAGGCUCAAUGUCCCCAUCAAUCUUCCCACGGGGCAUUGCAGGCUCCGGCUGAGAAGGAUUUACGGGGUAGGAGGGGUGUGGGACAAUGGCUGCCCCUCCCAGGCCCUGUCGGCAGCUUUUUCCCACGGUUGGCUCCGACCAGGCCCUAAUGGAUGGGUCAGAAAGGUCAGCUCACGGGGGUUCGCUCCUGCAUGCCAGAGGUUGCCGCCACAGUCAGCUCGGGCUGGGGGCUUACCGCUGGUGUCAGUUGCUCUUUAUUCUCUUCUGUAUUUUCCAAAGUCUCUGCAAAGAGCAUGUAUUACUUUUAAAAUCAAAAGAGGAGAGGAAACAA